UCUCUGUUAGUAUAUCGGUUAGUACACGCGCCUGUCACCACACGCGGUACGCGCGAAAGCGGGGUUCGACUCCCCGACAGAGAG